rnacentral:rRNA from 1 species
GAUGAACGCUGGCGGCGUGCCUAAUACAUGCAAGUCGAGCGAACAGAUGAGGAGCUUGCUCCUCUGACGUUAGCGGCGGACGGGUGAGUAACACGUGGAUAACCUACCUAUAAGACUGGGAUAACUUCGGGAAACCGGAGCUAAUACCGGAUAAUAUAUUGAACCGCAUGGUUCAAUAGUGAAAGACGGUUUUGCUGUCACUUAUAGAUGGAUCCGCGCCGCAUUAGCUAGUUGGUAAGGUAACGGCUUACCAAGGCAACGAUGCGUAGCCGACCUGAGAGGGUGAUCGGCCACACUGGAACUGAGACACGGUCCAGACUCCUACGGGAGGCAGCAGUAGGGAAGCUUCCGCAAUGGGCGAAAGCCUGACGGAGCAACGCCGCGUGAGUGAUGAAGGUCUGCGGAUCGUAAAACUCUGUUAUUAGGGAAGAACAAAUGUGUAAGUAACUAUGCACGUCUUGACGGUACCUAAUCAGAAAGCCACGGCUAACUACGUG